ACAGUCACACAUUAGAUACCCGUGUAGUCCUAGCCGUAAACGAUACUCGCUAGGUGUCGGCCACGGUGCGACCGUUGUCGGUGCCGUAGGGAAGCCGUGAAGCGAGCCACCUGGGAAGUACGGCCGCAAGGCUGAAACUUAAGGAAUUGGCGGGGAGCACCACAAGAGGUGGAGGCUGCGGUUCAAUUGGACUCAACGCCGGAAAACUCAUCGGGAGCGACAGCAGUAUGAUUGCCAGGUUGAUGACCUUGCUUGACAAGCUG
rnacentral:rRNA from 1 species